rnacentral:tRNA from 1 species
GCCUGGCUGGCUCAGUCGGUGGUGGAGCAUCUGACUCUUGAUCUCAGGGUUGUGAGUUCAAGCCUCAUGUUGGGGG